UGUCAUCUCCAUGUGCUGUGGGGAAUACCCCAGCUAUGGCUCUGUCUGCACAUCAGAUUCAAGUCCGUGCAGACUGCCCGGCACUGAGGGAGCUGCUCUAGCUCCUCCUCCUGCAGGAGGGCUGUGCUUGUGGCCAUACUGGUGACAUGGACAGACUCUUGGUGGAGAAGUGAUGCUGUGGCAGCAAUUAUGACCCAGCAAGAGAGAGUCAGUCCUAGGACUGCAGCCCCAGCAGAAGGGAGCAGCUGUUCCCGCCUGAGCCCCUGGGUCUUGCUCAUAUUCUGCCCUUGCCGUCAAAACUGCCCUUAUGACCGUCGGCCUCGUUGUUCUCUUUCACAGGAUCUGUGGCCAGUACAAGACUCUGCCCCAGAAUGCUUCAGAGUGGCACUGCAUCACCAGUGGACCUGCAAGCCAAAGUGAGUGAUGCUAAGAGCCUUGGGAGUGACACUGAGCACGUCCCUCAGAUUUAUUCUGGUGUAAGUCAGCCUUUGAGUUUGGGAAUGGGAUUGUCAGCCAGAGCUGGAUUGCCCUAGGGAAGGAAGAUGGAGAC
rnacentral:lncRNA from 1 species